rnacentral:rRNA from 1 species
UACGUGAGGGGCAAGCGUUGUCCGGAAUCAUUGGCGUAAGCGCGUGUAGGCGGCCAGAUAAGUCCGGUGUGAAAGUCGAAAGGCUCACCUUUGAAUGCCGCUGGAAACUGUCUGGCUAGAGUCCGGAAGGGGCGAGUGGAACUCCUGGUGUAGCGGUGAAAUGCGCAGAUAUCAGGAAGAACACCUAUGGCGAAGGCAGCUCGCUGGACGGUACUGACGCUGAGACGCGGAAAGCGUGGGGAGCAAACAGG